rnacentral:lncRNA from 1 species
UUGGCCCUACGAUGUGCAACCGUAGAUUUUCAGGUAGGUGAUGAGUCAUAGCUGAUGCGUUCGGAUAGCUGUUGCUUUGCUAUUUAAUUAGAGUCGCUCUGUUAGAAUGUUGUUGGGGAAAACUUUUAUUUAAUUAUGCUACUAAUUCUUUAUUAACAAUUGGACCAUGUAGUUUUGAUUCAAUCAUUUCAAUUUGAACUUUGAAACUUAUAUUAUUGGUUUAAUUUUUA